GUUGAUGCUAAGAACUUAAGAUGUACUUUGCAUAUAUAAGUUCCUGACACAAUUUGUAGCUGCUAUUUAUAGAUGCAUAUGUUCACAUAUUUUUGCUGGACUGGUGUUUGACUUUGCAAAUACUUUGCCGAACUAGUAGCUGAUCAUACUGUUUUUUUUUUGAAUGAACAUAAUAGUGCAGGUGCAUGCAGUUGAUCACCUAGAUUGCACAUAAGAUCAAGAACUCAAUCUUGUACUUGUAAUGCAAGGCAACGGUAAGUCUAGAAUAGCAGUUAGAACUUGGAAUAUAGACCUGACUAACCAGUACAUGGGUGAGAGUCACAGACUCACAGGUGACCCGACUAACCAGUACGUGGGUGAGAGUCACAGACUCACAGGUGACCCAUGGAACGGCAGGUGCAUGCACACCUAGUCCUCACCCUGCACCUAUAAAUUCUUCUUGACCUCCAACUGCUGCAUCAAGUCUUUGGCAUAAUUUCUGGGAAACAAAUUGUGUCCUGGUUGUAUUUAACAGUGGUUUCUGUGUCGGUGGAAUGCAUCCUCAUGGGCCUGGAGGACCAGGUUGGGAAGGCCAUGGCCCUGGUUCUUGGGGGCCUUGGUUUGGUGGCUUCUUUAGAUCCUGCUUCUACCUCCUUUGCUGUUGCUGCCUGCUCCAAGAUUGCUGUGGCCCGUUCUUCGGACCCCCGGGUCCAGGCGGCUCACCACCCCCACCCUUCUGAUAGCAGUCCAACAUAUCCACCACGACGAAUAAUGCAUCGAGUUACAGUUAUUUGGCCUAAAUGUUCGCUGAAGAGCUCACUUUAGUGAAUACUCUGGCUGUUGGGAGUGUGCCUUGCUACAGUAUGCUCACUAGUGAAAGCAGCUGUCCUGUUACUCCUGUAUCUGUUGGAGAUCACUGUAUGAUCUUACCUAGUUACCUGGUACUGAUGUUAUUUUAGUGACAAUAUGCAAUUAUCGGACACAAUAUGCCACUGCUGUUACCUGGUUUUUGUAGAUUCAGUUGUGUCAGAAAUUUAUUUAUGCAGAGCUGCGAAGCACAUCUUCAGUUCUCAA